rnacentral:rRNA from 1 species
UACGUAGGGUGCGAGCGUUAAUCGGAAUUACUGGGCGUAAAGCGUGCGCAGGCGGUUCGUUGUGUCGGUGGUGAAAGCCCCGGGCUUAACCUGGGAAUGGCCAUGGAAACUGGCGAACUGGAGUGUGGCAGAGGGGGGUGGAAUUCCGCGUGUAGCAGUGAAAUGCGUAGAGAUGCGGAGGAACACCGAUGGCGAAGGCAGCCUUCUGGGCCAACACUGACGCUCAUGCACGAAAGCGUGGGGAGCAAACAGG